AACGAACGCUGGCGGCAGGCCUAACACAUGCAAGUCGAGCGGGACCUUCGGGUCUAGCGGCGGACGGGUGAGUAUCGCGUGGGAAUAUGCCCUUCUCUACGGAAUAGCCUCGGGAAACUGAGAGUAAUACCGUAUACGCCCUACGGGGGGAAGAUUUAUCGGAGAAGGAUUAGCCCGCGUUGGAUUAGGUAGUUGGUGGGGAAAUGGCCUACCAAGCCGCCGAUCCAUAGGUGGUUUGGGAGGAGGUUCAGCCAAACGGGGACGGAGACCGGGCCCAGACUCUUACGGGAGGAGGAGGGGGGAAAUCUUGGCAAAGGGGGAAAACCCUGAUCUAGCACCGCCGCGGGAGGAAUGAAGGCCUUAGGGUGGUAAAGUUUUUUCGGUGGGGAAGAUAAUGCGGGUACCGGAAGAAGAAGCCCCGGCUACUCCGUGCCAGCCGCCGCCGUAA
rnacentral:rRNA from 1 species